rnacentral:rRNA from 1 species
AGCCUUUUGAAUAUAUAAAAGGUUGUUUCUGCCCGGUGUUUCGUGAUGAAAUUAACGGCCGCGGUACCCUGACUGUGCGAAGGUAGCAUAAUUACUUGCCCUAUAAUUGAGGGCUGGAAUGAAUGGAUUUACAAGAAAAAAGCUGUCUCUUUUUAGUUUUUAGAAUUUGCUGUCGGAGUGAAGAAGUUUCGGUGGAUAAGUUAGACGAGAAGACCCUAUUGAGCUUUACUGGAUUUUGUGCUUGAGCGUAAUUAACAGUUUGAUUGGGGCGAUCAAGGAAGGUAAAUAAUCUUCCUUCUCUUAUGUUUUUAUUUUAUUUUGUUGAUCCUUUAUUUAAAGAUUAAAAAAAUAAGUUACCAUAGGGAUAACAGCGUAAUCCUUUUUUAGAGUUCCUAUCGAAAAAAGGGUUUGCGACCUCGAUGUUGGACUAAGAUAUCCUAAAGGUGCAGAAGCUUUUGGUGGUGGGUCUGUUCGACCUUUAAAAUCUU